UUUCCGUAGGUGAACCUGCGGAGGGAUCAUUACUGAGUGAGGGCCCUCUGGUUCAAACUUCCCAACCGAGCUUUUUGUACCUUGUUGCUUCGGUGAGCCCGCCUCACGGCCGCCCGGGGGCCGCUUCCCCCGGGCCCGCGCUCGACUAAGACACCCGUGAACUCUGUCUGUAUUUUGCAGACUAGUCAAAAACUAAAUAAGCUAAACCUUUCAACAUCGCAUCGCUUGGUUCCGCCACCGAUGAAGAACGCAGCAGAUCGGACGACCGCACGUCUGAAA
rnacentral:misc_RNA from 1 species